AUGAGGAGAGGCUGGCAGUGCUGCCUAGUAACCAGAGAGGUGUGUGCCAGCAUCCCCAGAUGCCUGGACCAGAAGAACCACGUCCGUCAGCAAUCUGGAGAAGAAGAAUUCACAUUUAAAGUUUGGAAAGUGGCAGAAAAAAAAGCCACAUCAUUUCCUAAGAAGCAGGGCCUCAGAGGACCUGAAUGAAGCCCCAGUAGAUUCUGGGCCAGCCGAGCAAGGCCUUGGGUUCUGGCAGGGCAGAAGCCGGUGUCUGAAUAUCCUGACCAGCCAAGGGGAG
rnacentral:lncRNA from 1 species